rnacentral:tRNA from 4 species
GGGUGAUUAGCUCAGCUGGGAGAGCACCUCCCUUACAAGGAGGGGGUCGGCGGUUCGAUCCCGCCAUCACCCACCA